rnacentral:rRNA from 1 species
UACGUAGGGGGCAAGCGUUGUCCGGAUUUAUUGGGCGUAAAGAGCGUGUAGGCGGCCAUACAGGUCCGUUGUGAAAACUGGAGGCUUAACCUCCAGACGUCGAUGGAAACCGUAUGGCUAGAGUCCGGAAGAGGAGAGUGGAAUUCCUGGUGUAGCGGUGAAAUGCGCAGAUAUCAGGAAGAACACCCGUGGCGAAGGCAGGUCUCUGGGCAUUAACUGACGCUGAGGAGCGAAAGCAUGGGGAGCGAACAGG